rnacentral:lncRNA from 1 species
GGUGGUUUAGUUGUCAGUUAUGUUGUUAGUCAGUUGUAUGAGCCAACGCUCCGCUAGGCUCAAUUUCAGAUGAAACAUGUCCGAGGAUCUGUGCAUCAUCCUCUGCACUUGCCGUAGCCGACAACGUUGUCUUUUUACGAAAAAAAUCGAGAACACUUUUCUGCGAUUUAUCCAUCUUGUUUUAUUACAUGAACUAAAUUAUCCUUAAUAAAAGACCAC